GAUUUGUGCGAUACCUUUGCAUGUGACAAUGGAGGAGAGUGCCGUGUGGAAAAUCACUACCCAUACUGUCACUGCCCUCAAGGUUAUACUGGCAAAAUGUGUGAAAACAUGAUCAAUCACUGUGAUUCUCAACCAUGUUAUUAUGGGAACAACUGCACCAGUUUUCUGAAUGGCUACUACUGCAGUUGCACAGAACCAGUGAACUCCUGCCCACAAAUAGAUGGCACAGUGAUGAGGUACAUGGUGCCUGGCUUCAGUGGGAGUGUGGCUGAUGUUUUACAACAAGAGGAUUACAGUUAGACAAGCCCUUACUGCAGAACACAAGCUUGAUUUACACACCCAGAGACGAGGGAUUAAACAGUCAGUGUCACCUGACCAUAACAGUUACAGAUGUGAAUCCCAUUAUAUUAGAAUGCCCCACAUCAAAAGUAGAGUUUAUAUCCCGUAUUGGAGACAGCCGAUCAGUUCCUGUCUCCACUUGGGUGAAAAAGCCUCCAGGUGCUGAGGUCAUUGUUAACCCUGAGGAACUAGACAUAAGCUACUCUGACAUAGAUACAAUGAGAGAUGUGUAUGUGACAGCCACAAGAAAUAACCUUACUGCAGUCUGUUCGUUCCAGGUGUUUGUUCAAGUGGCAACUUCUUCUGAACUGAUUCUCAACUACCUGCUGCUAAAUGGUAAUGUUUCUGUUUGUGAAACAGUAAACUCUCUUGUGUCAUGUCAUUUUCGAUGUAAUGAUGGCUACAUAAUCCAUGGAAAAGAAACCUCUCUGGGUGUAAUAGAAUUGCUAAAGGAGGAUGGGUUGAUGCUACCAGUUGUCCCUCAGUGCA